GCUGAUGAGAAUGUCAUUCGUUUUUCAGGUAUUUGGUUAUAAACCAAAGUACUGGACAAAUUGUAAUUUUGACCAGUGGA